GUUUCCACUUUGGCAGCACAUAUACUACAAUUGGAACAGUAUGGAGAAGAUUAGCAUGGCCCCUGCAGCAAAGAUGACAUGCAAAUUCACGAAGCGUUGCGUAUUUUC
ensembl:snRNA U6 U6 spliceosomal RNA